rnacentral:rRNA from 1 species
GACGAACGCUGGCGGCGUGCUUAACACAUGCAAGUCGAACGGAAAGGCCCUGCUUUUGUGGGGUGCUCGAGUGGCGAACGGGUGAGUAACACGUGAGUAACCUGCCCUUGACUUUGGGAUAACUUCAGGAAACUGGGGCUAAUACCGGAUAGGAGCUCCUGCUGCAUGGUGGGGGUUGGAAAGUUUCGGCGGUUGGGGAUGGACUCGCGGCUUAUCAGCUUGUUGGUGGGGUAGUGGCUUACCAAGGCUUUGACGGGUAGCCGGCCUGAGAGGGUGACCGGGCACAAUGGGACUGGGAAACGGGCCAGAAUCCUUCGGGAGGCAGCAGGUGGGAAUAUUGCACAAUGGGGGGAAGCCUGAAGGAGCAACGCCGCGUGCGGGAUGACGGCCUUCGGGUUGUAAACCGCUUUCGCCUGUGACGAAGCGUGAGGGACGGUAAUGGGUAAAGAAGCACCGGCUAACUACGUG